UCGGAAGGGUGAGUAACGCGUGAGCAUCUGUCUUUAGGUGGGGGACAACAGUUGGAAACGACUGCUAAUACCGGAUAUGCGGAAACGUGAAAGAUAAAUUGCCUAAAGGAGAGCUCGCGUCAGAUUAGCUAGUAGGUGGUGUAAGGGACUACCUAGGCCUUGAUCUGUAGCUGGUCUGAGAGGACGAUCAGCCACACUGGAACUGAGACACGGUCCAGACUCCUACGGGAGGCAGCAGUGGGGAAUUUUCCGCAAUGGGCGAAAGCCUGACGGAGCAAUACCGCGUGAGGGACGAAGGCUUUUGGGUCGUAAACCUCUUUUCUCUCGGAAGAAUAUGACGGUACCUGAGGAAUAAGCCUCGGCUAACUCCGUGCCAGCAGCCGCGGUAAUACGGAGGAUGCCAGCGUUAUCCGGAAUUAUUGGGCGUAAAGCGUCCGCAGGUGGUUUGGUAAGUCUGCUGUUAAAGCGUCCAUGCUUAACCAUGAUAAGGGCAAGUUGAAAUUGAUGGGGCCUAGGAGCUCCCUUGGUGUCAGGGAAUUCCCAGUGUAGCGGUGAAAUGCGUAGAGAUUGGGAAGAACACCGGUGGCGAAAGCGCUCUGCUAGGACAAUACUGACACUGAGGGACGAAAGCUAGGGGAGCGAAUGGGAUUAGAUACCCCAGUAGUCA
rnacentral:rRNA from 1 species